AGAGGGGACUGAGGUUUCUCGAGAAGGCAGAGCUGUGCUCUAGAGAAGAUGAGACUGCUGGGUCUCCUCCUGAUCCUGGUGACAGUCCCCCUGGGUGUCCUGUCCCAAGUGAAGCUGCAAGAGUCGGGCCCAGGACUGGUGAAGCCCUCACAGACCCUCUCCCUCACCUGCACUGUCUCGGGAUUCCCUUUAGCAAUAUAUAGCAUACACUGGACCCGCCAGGUUCCAGGGGAGGGGCUGCAGUGGGUUGGUGCUAUGUGGAGUGCUGGAAGUACAGAGUACAAUCCAGAACUGAAAUCUCGAGUCAGCAUAACCAGAGACACCUCCAAGAGCCAAGUUUAUUUGGCACUGAGCAGUGUCACAACCAAGGACACAGCCGUCUAUUACUGUGGGAGAGACACAGUGAGGGGAUGUGUCUACUCCAAGGUGCGGGUGGAGCAGUCUGGGGCUGUGGUGAGGAAGCCUGGGGCCUCAGUGGAGUUCUCCUUCAAGGCUUUUGGAUACAUGAUCACCAGCUAA